CUUUUAUACAGGAAGAACCUUUCCACGUGUGGAGAGCUGACGKACUGUAAGAAUAAGGACGGCUAACUCCGUGCCAGCAGCCGCGGUAAUACGAGGACCAAGCGUUAKCCGGAAUCAUUGGGUUUAAAGGGCCGUAGGUGGAUAAUUAAGCAGAGGUGAAAGUUUGCGGCUCAACCGUAAAAUUGCCUUUGAUACUGGUUAUCUUGAAUCAUUGUGAAGUGGUUAGAAUAUGUAGUGUAGCGGUGAAAUGCAUAGAUAUUACAUAGAAUACCAAUUGCGAAGGCAGAUCACUAACAAUGUAWUGACACUGAUGGACGAAAGCGUGGGGAGCGAACGGGAUUAGAUACCCCGGUAGCCACGCGUAAACGAUGGCACUAGAUGUUCGGCUUCGGCUGAGUGGCUAAGCGAAAGUGAUAAGUGACCCA
rnacentral:rRNA from 1 species